rnacentral:ncRNA from 1 species
GAGAGUAGUUGAGUAUUUCGUUGUUCAAAAGAUAACGAAGCCCGUGGCGGACCACUACUUUCACAAUCCACAACACAAAAACUUAUGACACUGAUUAAGUCAAAUUAAUUAUUAAGAAAUAAGCAAAAGUGUCCGUCAGGUAAUAGUGAAAGGUGACUACAUAGUAAUGAGCCGUUCAUUGCACGAAAGGAUCGCAAGUCUGAUCGUAUUCUUACCAAACACCUCUAAUCCCGCAAGGACUAGUUGGGGAGGCAUCCUCGAAGAGAGUCGAGUAAUAAGAGAGUAACUAUUAUCUCAAGGAGUGGUACACCUAAAAGACCGUCACUGAGAAAUACUUCUCAAAAGGAAGUGGAUAGGAGUAGAAACAAUAAUGACUCUAAAGGUUCUCACAAACAGGUGUAAUCUCAGCCU